ACGCACGCUGGCGGCAUGCCUAGCACAUGCCAGUCGCACGAUGCCUCCGGGCAUAGUGGCGCACGGGUGCGUAACGCGUGGGAAUCUGCCCUUGGGUUCGGAAUAACUCGCCGAAAGGCGAGCUAAUACCGGAUGAUGACGUAAGUCCAAAGAUUUAUCGCCCAAGGAUGAGCCCGCGUAGGAUUAGCUAGUUGGUGGGGUAAAGGCCCACCAAGGCGACGAUCCUUAGCUGGUCUGAGAGGAUGAUCAGCCACACUGGGACUGAGACACGGCCCAGACUCCUACGGGAGGCAGCAGUGGGGAAUAUUGGACAAUGGGCGAAAGCCUGAUCCAGCAAUGCCGCGUGAGUGAUGAAGGCCUUAGGGUUGUAAAGCUCUUUUACCCGGGAUGAUAAUGACAGUACCGGGAGAAUAAGCUCCGGCUAACUCCGUG
rnacentral:rRNA from 1 species